UUUCUUUCUCUUAAGCUUCCAUAUGAGCUGGGUACUAGGGACGCUCCUUUCAUCUUUGUGAGAGCCCUCCAGUGUCUCAAGAUAAAUUACUGCACCGUAUACCUCUUACAAUAGUUUUUUUUCUCUAGAUUAUUUGUUAGCCAUUAUUUUGCGGCAAGCUCAUCUUCCAUCUUAUGCAAUAUGUUCAUGUAAAAUUCAUUCUCAGCAAGUUUCUCUCUCUAGAAAGACCACAAAACUGGGAAUACAAAUUUCUAUGAGUUUGGUGAGUUUGUUUCAAGUUUUUAUUCAUACUUUGUAUCUAAAAUACUACUUGCAGUUUGGGAAGUUUGUAUGAGCAAAGGGGAAAAAUUAUAAGGCAGCAUUUUAGUUUGUU
rnacentral:lncRNA from 1 species